rnacentral:misc_RNA from 1 species
GAUGAAGAACGUAGCGAAAUGCGAUAAGUAAUGUGAAUUGCAGAAUUCAGUGAAUCAUCGAAUCUUUGAACGCACAUUGCGCCCGCUAGUAUUCUGGCGGGCAUGCCUGUCCGAGCGUCAUUUCAACCCUCAAGCCCCCGGGCUUGGUGUUGGGGAUCGGCGAGCCUCCGCGCCCGCCGUCCCCUAAAUCUAGUGGCGGUCUCGCUGUAGCUUCCUCUGCGUAGUAGCACACCUCGCACUGGGAAACAGCGCGGCCACGCCGUUAAACCCCCAACUUCUGAACGUUUGACCUCGGAUCAGGUAGGAAUACCCGCUGAACUUAAUCAUAUCAAUAAGCGGAGGA